AUCAGGAGGAACACCGGUGGCGAAGGCGGGUCUCUGGGCCGAUACUGACGCUGAGGAGCGAAAGCGUGGGGAGCGAACAGGAUUAGAUACCCUGGUAGUCCACGCUGUAAACGUUGGGCGCUAGGUGUGGGGGGCCUCUCCGGUUCUCUGUGCCGCAGCUAACGCAUUAAGCGCCCCGCCUGGGGAGUACGGCCGCAAGGCUAAAACUCAAAGGAAUUGACGGGGGCCCGCACAAGCGGCGGAGCAUGCGGAUUAAUUCGAUGCAACGCGAAGAACCUUACCUGGGUUUGACAUCGCCCGUUUACCUGCAGAGAUGUGGGGUCCUUCGGGGCGGGUGACAGGUGGUGCAUGGCUGUCGUCGUGAGAUGUUCCGCAACGAGGGGUUAAGUCCGCAACCCUC
rnacentral:rRNA from 1 species